AAAAGAUUGAACAUGUGGGAGGAUCCGAACGAAUUCUGCUUUCAUUUCCCCCGUAUGGAGCACUGAGUUACUUACGUUACGGUCUUCAGCAGGCAGGCUGCACUCUAGGCGGCUAGGAAGGCUCGCUAGACCAGCAGCCAGACCAAGAAUGAAUGUGUAAUGAUGGUGAUUCCACACCAGGCUCAAUAAAAAAUUGAAUGUAGAAAGGGGAUCCUAAACAAAAAAGGAGUCCAUGACCCCUUUUUAGAGCGUAUAAGGGGAGGUCGAAUUCCAAACCUUUUCUCUCGAGUAUACCCAUUACCAAAAAAUAUACGUCACUUUGGGACACAUGCGCAUAGCCGCCGCGCGUGGCUAAAGGUCAACCAAAAAAA
rnacentral:lncRNA from 1 species